rnacentral:rRNA from 1 species
AUUCAGGCCUAACACAUGCAAGUCGAGCGAUCCCGCAAGGGAUAGCGGCAAGCGGGUUAGUAACACGUGAGUAAUCUGCUCUAAAGUCUCACAUAGCUUCGUGAAAACGAGGGUAAUUUGAGAUGUGGUUAUGGGGUUGCAUAAUUCUAUAACUAAAGGUGGGGACCGCAAGGCCUAUCGCUUUAGAAUGAGCUCGCGGCCUAUCAGCUAGUUGGUAGGGUAACGGCCUACCAAGGCUUAUGACGGGUAGCUGGUCUGAGAGGACGACCAGCAACACUGGGACUGAGACACUGCCCAGACUCCUACGGGAGGCUGCAGUCGAGAAUAUUUAGCAAUGGACGCAAGUCUGACUAUGUGACGCCGCGUGAGGGAUGAAGGUUUUCGGAUCGUAAACCUCUUUUGUCAUGAAAGAAAAUUCUGUUUUCUAAUAGGGAGCAGAACUGACGGUACGUGGCGAAUAAGCCACGGCCAACUCCGUGCCAGCAGCCGCGGUAAUACGGAGGUGGCAAGCGUUACUCGGAAUCGUUGGGUGUAAAGGGCAAGUAGGCGGUUUCUCAAGUGAGGGGUGAAAUCUUCCGACUCAAUCGGAAAACUGCCUUUCAAACUAGGAAACUUGAGGUCGGAAGGGGAAAAUGGAAUUCGCGGUGUAAGGGUGAAAUCUGUAGAUAUCGCGAAGAACGCCAGCGGCGAAGGCGAUUUUCUGGUCCGACCCUGACGCUAAAUUGCGAAAGCUAGGGGAGCAAACAGAAUUAGAUACUCUGGUAGUCCUAGCCGUAAACGAUGAGCACUAGGUGUUGGUC